rnacentral:lncRNA from 1 species
ACCUCGAUGGUCUUGGGCUUCUUGGGCUCCGGCGGCGGCCUCUUCUCCACCGUCACCGUCAGCACCCCGUCCUGGUACGACGCCGAUAUCUUCUCCGGGUCCGCGUUCUCCGGCAGCACGAACUUCUUCAGGAACUUCCCCAGCCUCCUCUCCAUCUUUACGUACCUCAGCAGCCCCCCUCCCGCUCCAUCCUUCUGGUCCUUCAGGUCCUUCUCUUUCUCCCUCUUCCUCUCGCCGCUCACCACCAGCAUGUUCCCGUCCUCCACCUGGACCUUGAUCUGGUCCGGCUUCAGCCCCGGCAUGUCGAGCACGAACACGUACGAGUUCGGGUACUCCUUCACGUCGGCCGGCGUCGCGGCCAUCGCCUUCUUGUCGCGCAGGAAGGCGCGGGACGGGGCGUGGUGGGACUUGGCGUCGGGCUCGUCGGAGAGGUCGAGGAGCUCGUGGAGGGUGUCCAGCACGGUGGGGUCGAAGCCCAUGUCUCUGAGAUCCAUGCUCUUCAGCUGCAAAGCCUCGAUGAGAAGCGUCUCUUUGCG